rnacentral:sRNA from 1 species
GCUGGGCACGGUGGCCUAUGCCUGCAAUCCCAGCAACUUGGGAGGCUGAGACAGGAGGAUUGCAAGUUCAAGGCAAUCCUCAGUAAUUUAGCGAGAUCUUUUCUCAA